rnacentral:rRNA from 1 species
GGAGCUUGCUCCGCUGACGACCGGCGCACGGGUGCGCAACGCGUAUGCAAUCUACCUCUUACUAAGGGAUAGCCCAGAGAAAUUUGGAUUAAUAUCUUAUGUGAUAUGUGACUGGCAUCGGUUACAUAUUAAAGGUUACGGUAAGAGAUGAGCAUGCGUCUCAUUAGUUAGUUGGUAAGGUAACGGCUUACCAAGACUUCGAUGAGUAGGGGUCCUGAGAGGGAGAUCCCCCACACUGGUACUGAGACACGGACCAGACUCCUACGGGAGGCAGCAGUGAGGAAUAUUGGACAAUGGACGGAAGUCUGAUCCAGCCAUGCCGCGUGUAGGAAGACUGCCCUAUGGGUUGUAAACUACUUUUAUACAGGAAGAAUAAGAUCUACGUGUAGAUUGAUGACGGUACUGUAAGAAUAAGGACCGGCUAACUCCGUGCCAGCAGCCGCGGUAAUACGGAGGGUCCGAGCGUUAUCCGGAAUUAUUGGGUUUAAAGGGUCCGUAGGCGGGCUGUUAAGUCAGAGGUGAAAUGCUGCGGCUCAACCGUAUGCACUGCCUUUGAUACCGGCGGUCUUGAGUUAUAGUGAAGUGGC